GAUGAACGCUGGCGGCGUGCUUAACACAUGCAAGUCGAACGGAAAGGCCCAACCUUGCUUGGGUACUCGAGUGGCGAACGGGUGAGUAACACGUGGGUGAUCUGCCCUGCACUUCGGGAUAACUCUGGGAAACUGGGUCUAAUACCGGAUAGGACCACCUCCUGGAUGUUGUGGUUGAAAGUUUUUGCGGUGUUGGAUGGGCUCGCGGCGUAUCAGCGUGUUGGUGGGGUGGUGUCCUAUCACGGCGUCUACGGGUAGCGGGCGUGAGAGGGUGUGCGGACACAUGGGGUGUGAUAUAGGGCAGAGACCCACGCGGGGGGCAGGAGGGGGGAAUAGUACAAAGUGGGCGAGCGUGAUACGGAGACACGGCGCGGGCGGUGACGGCGUUCGCGUUGUAAAAUCCGCUCGCGCCGGUGGAGGCGUUUUAGUGACGGUAACUGGUGAAGAAGCACCGGCUAACUACGUG
rnacentral:rRNA from 1 species